UGACCAUCCAUCCACCCCACUGACCAUCCAUCCAUCCCACUAACCGUCCAUACACCCCACUGACCAUCCAUACACCCCACUGACCAUCCAUCCAUCCCACUGACCAUCCAUACACCCCGCUGACCAUCCAUACACCCCACUGACCAUCCAUACACCCCACUGACCAUCCAUCCAUCCCACUGACCAUCCAUACACCCCACUGACCAUCCAUCCAUCCCACUGACCAUCCAUACACCCCGCUGACCAUCCAUACACCCCACUGACCAUCCAUACACCCCACUGACCAUCCAUCCAUCCCACUGACCAUCCAUACAACCUACUCAGCAUCCACAGUAGCACACUGGGCAGGUCAGCAGGGGACAGUUCCUGCCUUCCCCCAGGUAGCCUCACUCCAUCGAGCACCGGGCUGCCAUUUGAGAGCUUCCAGAGGUGGGCAAGGAGGAGGCACACAAGGUGUGGGUGGGACGCAGCCCCUGCACGACCCAUUAUGGGUGCUGUCACACCUGUGAUCUGACGACAGCAUCAGGCAUGGUGGCCAUCCAAGUAGGAUGGAGGCCACGGCUUUCCCUGGGCUAACUGAUCCAGCUCUCUCCAUGUCUGCCCAUCAGUUUGCCUCCUCCCUGCCACCCAAGGGACCCGCUGUCCCCUCCUCCACGUUCACUCCACCACUCCUUGCAGAUAACAGGGCCAGCCACAGCGCUGGGACACCUGG
rnacentral:lncRNA from 1 species